rnacentral:piRNA from 1 species
UUUUUCAUUGAUGAGGGACAACAUACCCAGA